rnacentral:miRNA from 1 species
CGCCAAAGAAGAUUUGCCCCG